GGAGGAUAUAGCUCAGUGGUAGAGUGCAUGCUUAGCAUGCAUGAGGUCCUGGGUUCAAUUCCCAGUACCUCCA
rnacentral:tRNA from 1 species